rnacentral:rRNA from 1 species
GGAGGGUCAUUACCGAGUUUACAACUCCCAAACCCCUGUGAACAUACCACUUGUUGCCUCGGCGGAUCAGCCCGCUCCCGGUAAAACGGGACGGCCCGCCAGAGGACCCCUAAACUCUGUUUCUAUAUGUAACUUCUGAGUAAAACCAUAAAUAAAUCAAAACUUUCAACAACGGAUCUCUUGGUUCUGGCAUCGAUGAAGAACGCAGCAAAAUGCGAUAAGUAAUGUGAAUUGCAGAAUUCAGUGAAUCAUCGAAUCUUUGAACGCACAUUGCGCCCGCCAGUAUUCUGGCGGGCAUGCCUGUUCGAGCGUCAUUUCAACCCUCAAGCACAGCUUGGUGUUGGGACUCGCGUUAAUUCGCGUUCCUCAAAUUGAUUGGCGGUCACGUCGAGCUUCCAUAGCGUAGUAGUAAAACCCUCGUUACUGGUAAUCGUCGCGGCCACGCCGUUAAACCCCAACUUCUGAAUGUUGACCUCGGAUCAGGUAGGAAUACCCGCUGAACUUAA